AUGAUUGACCAAUAUAAACAUCAACAACUUCAAAUUGGACUUGUUUCCCCUCAACAAAUAAAGGCUUGGGAUAACAAAAACCUACCUAAUGGAGAAGUCGUUGGCGAAGUCACAAGGCCCUCUACUUUUCAUUAUAAAAUGUAUCCAUUGGGCAAAUAUAGGUUCGAUCAAGAUUUGCUUUUCUGGAGUACCAAAAGCAAGCAUGACGUCGUUAUGAACAUAAAGGUAAUCGGCAAUUUGACAGCAUAA
rnacentral:rRNA from 1 species